UGUCAUUAGGCAUCCACUGUUUAUUAGGAGUUUGUUACAUUUCUAUGCAUAUUCAUGCUAACUGAAUUUACAUCUGUCUUGCAACAUGGAAAAGACAUUGCAGAAGGCAGUGAGAUGAUUAAUCAUUUCAAACUCAGAAUUCAUAGCAGGUAAUAUGGAGUCAGUAUAAAUAAAAGGACAGACCAACACCAUGCAUAAUACGAUAUAUGUGCAUGACUGGUUGAUUCAGCCCCAGAAAAGCUUAGGAGAGGUCUGGGAAACUCUGUGUGUGCAGCUGCUACUCAUGUGUGGAUCCUCCUAAUCCGCUCCUUCGCUGUAACAUGCCCACCACUGUGCUAUCUGUUUACACACCUCAGACUCCAACGCAUACAUGUGUUGACCUGCUUGAUCUGAAUUACAAUCUGAACCUACUUGCCCAACUGGCCUUACAUCUAGGUGACUUGUUUGUGGAACUUCUUAAAAUGGCAAAAUAAAUAAAUAAAUAAAUAAAUAAAUAAAUAAUCCAUGCGGUACUAUCCUCCCAGUGUGUUCCUCAUUUUUUCAUCUCUUAUAUGCCAGGCUUAUUCUCUGGCCAGCAAAAAAUUAGUAACUAGGACCAUAUCUCAUUUUCCCAUUUGUAGAACCCCCCAAACCAUCCAGGUACUUUCCCGGAGACUCCAGCAGUUGUGACCAGUGUAUUGAUCUCUGCAGAGGUGGUAUAUGGGAACUGUUGAGUCAGCCUGAACUACUGAUUGAGCACCUGGGGAAAGGACUAGGACAGCCCUGGGAGCACAGGUGAAGGCAAUUCAGCUGCAUGACCAGAAGGGUUGGAGCCUGGUUCCAUCUCUCUUAGACCUCAUUUAAGGGCUGACUGCCACUGGGGAAGGAUCUCUGGUUAGAGAUCAUCUUUGUGGAGUCAUUUCUGUGAGCCUAGGCUUUUGGAGAUGGGUGGUAAGACGAACAUUUCACCUGAAGGAAAUCCUCAGAAGCUGUUAACACCACUAACAGAGAAGGAUUUGAGACAUCAGACACUGAAUUAUACUGGUGGUGUUACUGCCAGUAAAGACAGUCCAAGUCUGGAAUGAAGAUAAAACCAAGGGUACCUACAAUGGCUGGGUGAUAACAUCAACAGUAUUAACACCUGCUCAGUCUUCUACUCUGGUCUCCAGGAAAAGGAAAGAGAAAUGGUCACUCUCAGCCUGCGUGUUUUAAGGCAAGAAGACUAGGUCCUCCUUUCCUCACUCCUCACAUGUUGGGGUAUGAGGCCAGAAAGCCUGGCAGCCCUGCAUGAUGUUCAGAUUUUUCUGCGUGCUCUUGGGUGAUGCUAUGCUUUAUCAGCUUUAUAGAGAGGGUCUGUUAUGAAGCCUGUCCUAAGGGCAAAAUGCCUCUUGAAGCAGAGCCAUUUCACAACAUACAGAUAAGUAAACAGUGAGUAAGAAAUUAAUGAUCUGGAUAAAGCUAUGGUUGAUUUGAUUGUUGUGUAUUUUCCCAGGGAAGAAGAGAACAAAUGUGUCACUCACAUCCCCAUCAUCCAUGAAGUUGGAUAAAUCUUUCAUCCCAUUCAUAUGUCAGAGAACCUCAGCAAACUGCAUUAUCUCCUUAAAUCAAAGCAACUGUUAACUCUUAAAUUAAAUGCUGCCUUCUCAGUGUAUGGUACAUGUGUUGGCCAAGGUCACCCAGAUAUUCCCAUCCAUUUGCCUGUUGUUAUUUGGCUCCAUGUUCAGGCCCCUACAGAGGUGAAUGUGUUUCAUUCUGCUCAUCAGGAAAAUUACCUCAGCAUGGUGUAUUGACACCGGAGGCAUGGCAGGAAUCCAAAGAUGCAGUAGAUUAAAAGUGCCUGAUCAAAUUUGGAACAAGUCUCAUUUCUAUCUGGGGGCUUCCUUCUGAGAAAAUUGUACAUCAAGAUAUUUUGUUUUUAUAAAUUGUUUUUAUACACAGAGUGACUUGAGCAGUUAUUGAUUAUGAGAGUAAGGUAGCAACCCAGUAAUAAAAUCAAAGAAGAAAAAUAUACUGUGUUGAGGAUCUAAAGCAUAGUUCCUAAUUUCAGUACUAAUGUUACCAAUUAUGGACCACUCCUGUUUGUUCUGUGGCAUGUUUCUGGUCCUACCUCAGGACCAAAAUGGGAUGCACCUUGGUGCCUGCCUUGCUUCCCCCUCACAUGAAAAGAUACUGACCAGUGCUUCAUGAUCUUACUGCCUGCACUCCCUAAAUCAU